UACGGAGGGUGCGAGCGUUGUCCGGAAUCACUGGGCGUAAAGCGUGCGCAGGCGGUGAUGUAAGACAGGUGUGAAAUCCCAGGGCUUAACCUUGGAACUGCAUUUGUGACUGCAUAGCUAGAGUACGGUAGAGGGGGAUGGAAUUCCGCGUGUAGCAGUGAAAUGCGUAGAUAUGCGGAGGAACACCGAUGGCGAAGGCAAUCCCCUGGACCUGUACUGACGCUCAUGCACGAAAGCGUGGGGAGCAAACAGG
rnacentral:rRNA from 1 species